AUUGAACGCUGGCGGAAUGCUUUACACAUGCAAGUCGAACGGCAGCACGGACUUCGGUCUGGUGGCGAGUGGCGAACGGGUGAGUAAUGUAUCGGAACGUGCCCAGUCGUGGGGGAUAACGUAGUGAAAAUUACGCUAAUACCGCAUACGAUCUAGGGAUGAAAGCGGGGGAUCGCAAGACCUCGCGCGAUUGGAGCGGCCGAUAUCAGAUUAGGUAGUUGGUGGGGUAAAGGCCCACCAAGCCAACGAUCUGUAGCUGGUCUGAGAGGACGACCAGCCACACUGGAACUGAGACACGGUCCAGACUCCUACGGGAGGCAGCAGUGGGGAAUUUUGGACAAUGGGCAAAAGCCUGAUCCAGCCAUUCCGCGUGCAGGAUGAAGGCCCUCGGGUUGUAAACCGCUUUUGUACAGAACGGAAAGGUUUCUACUAAUACUAGGAGCUCAUGACGGUACUGUAAGAAUAAGCACCGGCUAACUACGUGCCAGCCGCCGCUGUAA
rnacentral:rRNA from 1 species